GGAUCACCUGGAUGUUGAGCCAUCCACAUGCAAACCAAGGAAGGAGAGUGUGAGCUCCUGGCUGGAGAAUUCGCUCACAAGGGUGAUGUGAUCAUCUUACGUGUAAAAGAAAACCGAAUUUCACUUCUGGUGGUGACUAUUGUCUGAUUCAUCAUUACAGUAACCACCCAAGGAAACCCUGCCCACAAAAAGCAUUCUUCUGGAGAAGUUUUUAUUUAUCCUAAUUAGAGUGACCAUUCCUACAUUUGACUGCAACUAUAUGCGUGUGUGCGACCAGAACGCUGCCUCUGACUCAACUGGAAGCAUGAUUUAGGAUGCAGUACAUGCACCACAUCAUUUUUCUAAAAUCAAAAAGAUUCUGAAUUCCAACACCCGUAUGGCCUUGAUGGUUUUAGCUCAGGCAUUGGAAACUCACUCUCUCCGUCACCUCGGAUCUGAAGGGAUUCUGCACAUUUCUGUCUAGACAUCUGCUGACAUCCCAUCAUUCCUACAGAAGACAAAACAACUACAAAAAAAUACAUGGUUUGCAUC
ensembl:lncRNA LINC01893 long intergenic non-protein coding RNA 1893